UGUCAAACUGUUCACACGCAUUUUUUCGACACCAGAAGCAAAUCAAAAUUUUAUCCGGGAAAAGAUGAGCCCUCCAGAGGACCAUCAAACUGCAACGGCUGCGGAUAUCGAGCCGGCCAUAGACCCUAAUCAAGAAGUGGUUACUUCAGAAGAUCUUUAUGCUGAUGCGGUUUCGGAAAUCGGAAAUCAAAAUGUCUCAAGUGAACAGCAAGCUCAAUCUGCAUCAGUUCCGGACAUCGAACAAGCUGCAGAGCCCGAUCAAGAUGUUGUUCCAGUGGGACCGCCACUACCGACACCCGAAGAAAUAGAGCCACAAGAUCGAGGAACUGGUAUUCAUUCGUCACCCGUAGAUGCUGGGUCCCGAAGGAUGAGGCGACGCAGUCGUAUGAGGCGACCACGAUCACGAUCCCACCGAUCUCGAUCACGACGCCGCAGCCGAAGUGGUCGCCGUUAAAAUUUCUAAAGCGCGUGAUAAAA
rnacentral:lncRNA from 1 species